rfam:Camelus ferus unplaced genomic scaffold scaffold420, whole genome shotgun sequence.
GAGGGUAUAGCUCAGUGGUAGAGCACGUGCUUAGCAUGCACGAGGUCCUGGGUUCAAUCCCCAGUACCUCCA